rnacentral:rRNA from 1 species
AAAUUGAAGAGUUUGAUCAUGGCUCAGAUUGAACGCUGGCGGCAGGCCUAACACAUGCAAGUCGAGCGGAAACGAGUUAUCAGAACCUUCGGGGAACGAUAACGGCGUCGAGCGGCGGACGGGUGAGUAAUGCCUAGGAAAUUGCCCUGAUGUGGGGGAUAACCAUUGGAAACGAAGGCUAAUACCGCAUGAUGCCGAAGGGCCAAAGAGGGG